ACUUUAGAUAGCAGAAUAGCUCAUCAAUUACUUUCUGAGAUUAUUCUAUAAUUUUUCUAUUAACACCUCCCAUCAACUGUGCUGUUAUUUAUCACCGCCCAACGGUCGUUAAAAGUGAUAAAAAGGUGUUUCCGCUGAUUCGCUCAUCUGCCUCCUCUAUUAACUAUCUUCUUGGGAUCGCUUCGUCUCUCUCUAUUUCUUCUUCCUUUAUAUUCUUCUAUCUCCACCUCAAGAGAUUUGUCUCUUGUUUUCUAAGCUCCAAAUUUUUUUCUUCUUUGAAUUGUUUCUAUGGGCUAUCUUUCGUGCCGAGCAGAGUCCUCUAUAAUCACCUGCCGUUCCAUCUCCUCCCUCAACCCUACGCCGACCCACAAGACCCAAAGAAAGUCCAAAGACAAACAGAAAGAAGACGGCGGCGAUGACGCCGACGAUGGGACGUCCUCCAUCCACGGCCAGCGCAUCCACCACUUCACCUACCGCGAGCUGGAGUCCGCCACCGGCCACUUCUCCGACGCCACCCUCCUCGGCCGCGGCAGCCACGGCGCCGUCUACAAGGCCGUCCUCCCCGGCGGCCGACCUGUCGCCGUCAAGCGCCCCUCCCGCCGCCACCUGACCCCCGCCCGCGACGAGGUGGAGAACGAGAUCCAGAUCCUCUCCUCCCUCCGCGGCCCCCGCCUCGUCAACCUCAUCGGCUUCACCCCCUCCCCCUCUGCUGCCGCCGUGAGCCGCCGGGAACGGCUUUUGGUGGUGGAGUUUAUGCCCAACGGGACUCUGUAUGAUCUCCUCCACUCUAAUCCCCGGCCGCAGGGGUGGGCGCGCCGCCUCCGGCUGGCCCUCCAGACCGCCAAGGGCCUCCUCGCCCUUCACUCCGCCGAUCCACCCGUCAUCCACCGCGACGUCAAGUCUGCCAACGUCCUCAUCGACCGCCGCUUCAACGCCCGCCUCGGCGACUUCGGCCUCGCCCUCCGCGAUGACUCCGCCGCCCUCUUCUCCGCCGCCCGCGCCACCCCGCCGGCGGGGACCCUCGGCUACCUCGACCCCUCCUACGUCACCCCGGAGAACCUCAGCACCAAGACCGACGUUUUCAGCUUCGGCAUCCUCCUCCUCGAGAUCAUGAGCGGCCGCAAGGCCAUCGACGUCGCCCACUCGCCGCCGUCCGUCGUCGAAUGGGCGGUGCCCCUUUUGAAGAAAGGCAAGAUCUUGGCGCUCUACGACCCCAGAAUUGCCCCGCCCAAGGACCCGGCGGCGCGGCGGCAGCUCGCAUCCCUCGCCGCCAGCUGCGUCAGGUCGUGCAAGGAGAAACGGCCGUCGAUGCAGGAGGUGGUGGAGCAGCUCAAGGUCCUGAGCAAGACGGUGCCUUUGAGAGCCUGGAAUGGGCUCUCGGUCGGCAAUCCUUGCUCGGUGGUCGAUACUGAGAGGACGCUCUUGAAGCUGAAUCCGAAUAGCCUGAAUUUGGAUCGGAAUUUGAGUUUGGUGUCGAGGUGGGCUAAAGAUGAUGAGCAGGCGGAGGAAGAAGAGAUGCCUGUUGGUGUCAAGAAGCUGCCUUCUAUAGUAAAGGAAUCUCAUCCUUCGAGGAAUGCAAGAAGGGUGUUCUCGGAUGCAAGCACCAGGGGAAGCAGGAAUCUGAUGGAGCUCAUGGCUCGAACUCAUGGUGAACCUGUCAAUGGAGUGCUGGUGGGUGGGAGUGGUAGCCAAAGAUCUAUCAUUGGCAGAGCAAGGACGGUGCAUGUUGCCCGUGAAUUUUAUGAAAGAGAUGCAAUAGUGCAGUUGCGGAGGAACCAAAGCAUGAGGGGAGUCCAAUUGCAAGCAUUUUCAAGAUUGGAUGGCUUUGGGAAACUGGAAGAAAAAGUUUGUGGUCAAGCAGGAGAUCCAAUUUGAUCUCAGUCUGGUUGGUCAAAGACCAAUUGAUUAUUACUGUUGAAUCAGUAUCCUUGCAUUUCUCUGGAAAAAGAGCUAGAGAAUUCUUCUCUCUGGCAUUUCUGAUUGUUGUAGAGUUUAGGGAUGAUUUAUUUACAAGUGCAUCUGGGCAUGCCAUUUUGCUAUCUAGUUAAGCAUGCACGCAAGUCCUACGCUAGCAUUUCUACCUCCUUGUAUCAAGAGAUGUGUCCUAGCAACUGAAUUUACAUUCUUUUGCAUUUGGUAGCUCAUCGAAAUAUCUUUUGAAUACAAAUAUGAAUAGUCUCGAAUUCAUAUUAGUCUUUACUUUACAUUUCUUUUAAAUCAUAUUAUUGUGUUCUUACAUCCAUCUGUUUGGUUUGAUUGGAAUCUAUUUUCUUUUCGAUAUUCUUCUUUUUCUUCAUCCUCAUCUUGCAAAAGAGCAUGCCAUCAACAUUUAUAUGGUUUCCAGCAAAAUUAUUCCCCAUGCAGAAGGACUCCAAUUUGGCUUGAAUAUAUUCUAUCUGCACUUUGAGUCUAAAUGUUUAUACUUAAACACGAAGUUAGCCUUCAACUGCUGUCUUCCACCCGUGAAUUUUGGAUUUUAGAGUACAGGUCAAAUAAAGGAUGUAUGAACUCCUUUUUGAAGAGGAAGCUAUCAAUCUUAAGAGCAUCUGCAUUGAAAUAUUAUUUAGCUAUCUAAGCCAAUAAACUCCAUCUUCACUUUUUAAUACGAAUCUUAAUUUUUCAGGUCUUAUAGACUGAGGGGAAAUUUCUUUUCUCGAGUGAAAAUUGCCUUUCAGAGGAGUUCCUGUCAGAAUAUAGUAGAUAAGCGAGUCACCAGCCCCUUGUUCAGUUCCUGGUAUGAACAUGGAUUAAAUAUGAUUGUAUUCUGAUUUCAGUAUAUCUCCAUGAGUGCUUGAGCAAUUGAAAUGUUAUCUAACAUAACGGAGAGAGAGAGAUGAAGAUAAUAGUAGAACUAGAGCUAGGUGAAGUGGAGACUUGAGAGGUGACUCUGUUGCGUUAAUGUAGCUAACACGUGGCCUGAUAUCUUGAAGGAAAAUCUUGUAAAGCACAAUGAGGAAUGCAGCUUAAGAUGAUCCAGAAUGUAAGGCAAUAAGAGAUGCAUAAAGAAACAAAAUAUGGAUGGGAAAGAUGAGUAUGUUGAGAUAGGUGCUUGGCAAACCAGGAAGGGAAGUGGAGCAAGAAUUUUAGAGCAGUUGGAGUUGCACUAAUCAAUAAAAACAUAAUGGAAAAUCAAUUAAGAUGGUACUAGUGGGCUUGUGAAUGAAGAUUUUAGUAAAUCCUAGUAUGAAGGUAGUGCUCAGAUCUAUGCUGAAGGUUCUGGAAAUAUGAGGGGAAGACCUAAGAUGAUGAUUGGCAAAAAAAUGAUAAAUACAGCUGACUCAAACAGUAGGGACAAGGUUUGAUUGCAGUUGUUAUGAUCAACUCCUUUAGCUACAUUGUAGGUUAUGGGGCAAUGUUGAUGGUCAAACACAGUUUCAUUUUCAAAUACAAACCAUUUCAUGAAUUGGUUACCCCUUACCUGCCACAUAUUUCAAGCUUGAAAGGUUUGUUGGUCCUUAUACUUUGGAAUGAGAUUCCUGGAUCUUGGUGAUCGUCUGGUCGUUCCAAACUCUGGAUGUGUCAACUUGACAGGGUAUUCCUGCUUCCUGUCCUUUCAGGUUGGACAUGUAAAGCCUGUAAGCUGCUCUUUGCUUAUGUGGGUGGUUGCUUCCUUCUUGAAGUGGAUCUAUAGCAAUAGAUGAUCUAGCGUAGGAGGAAAGGAAAACAAUGGGCAACACCAUUUGUGCCUCCUGAUUAAUGUUUUAGGAUUUAAAGCUGAGGUGGUGUCAGACUUGCAGCUAGGGUGAACAUAAUUUUGUACAAUAUGUUCUGAAGGAUCCUGAAUACCAACAUGUUAAAGAUCAAAUCUGUUUGUCAUAGUGCUCCUCUGAUUGCUCAAGACAUCACUUUUUUGUGUAUUUACAAAAUGGUCCACUGCUUUAUUAACAAAGCUCUGUGGUGCUAACUUGUGAGGCAAAUAUAUGUAUGUAUGUAUGUAUUGGGAAGUAAGGUAGAAGCACAGCAGAAAUCUGGAAUGGGGGCAGGAUCGAACCUAGGUCUCUUGUAUCAGUACACGAGACUUUGCCAACAUUACUAGUUGGCACACUCUACUAAUUUUAGUAUAUUUAGAUAUCUAGCUUUGAUGAUUGCAUUCUUUCAGUGCUUUUAUUGUUAUACCUGAUUACCUUAUUUGGACUCAUAUCAUGACACACCCAAUGGUAUGUAUUAAUUUGCUGUCAAUAAAUUAAUUAAAGUUAAGCUUGAAUAACCUAAAAUGCUUGAUAAGUGGAAAAGUUUGCAACCAUAUUGAUGCCAAGGAUAACUCAACCAGUGAUCAUAUCACACAUCUCCAAUCUAUUGAUCUGAAAAUUAGAGCAGAACUCAUUUCUUGGUGAUAUCUGCUAGUAUUUACUCAAGCUACUCAUUUAUACUGACUUGUCAGAAUGUAGUUUUUACGAUGGCAACUGUUUCUCUUAUGCUCAAAAUGCAGGUCCCUGAUAUUUCCGGAGUUAUUUGAUAUUGUGGGUGCAAGUACCUUUUAACAGCAGAGUACAUGGCUGGGCAUCUUUUGGUGGCAAGGAUAGGAAACAGUUAGCUGCUGGUGAUGCACUCAUCUGUAGCAUGACAUCUUGGCCAGUGUCCACAGCUUGUCAAAUGGAUUCCACCAACUGGUUCCUUCAAAGCAUCAAUGAAGGCCUUCACUGGAAUUUUGAGGAGGACUCAAAUCAUUUGAUGCUCCUCGUGGUUCAUAGCUUUAUCUGCGCUGGUUAAUCCUGUGCAGCAAGGCUUGGUGAUCUGAAGCAGUUUUAAUAUGUAAAGAUUGUAGCAAGUUGAAUUUUGCUUUCUUUUUCUUUUUUUCUUCUUGCAAUUAAACAAAUUCUUGUAUAAAUAUGGAUAAUUGAUCCUAAAUUCACUCAUACACCUGACCAUUAAUGCAUCAGAUAUGGGUGAUUACUGUUUGGCACUGUUGAACUUCUAUGACUUGUCUCCCAGUAAAGUGAAUGUAUCUCUA